UACGUAGGGUGCGAGCGUUGUCCGGAAUUAUUGGGCGUAAAGAGCUCGUAGGCGGUGUGUCGCGUCGGCCGUGAAAACCUGGGGCUCAACUCUGGGCGUGCGGUCGAUACGGGCAUCACUAGAGUUCGGCAGGGGAGACUGGAAUUCCUGGUGUAGCGGUGAAAUGCGCAGAUAUCAGGAGGAACACCGAUGGCGAAGGCAGCUUCCUGGCCCAAUUCUGACGCUGAGGUGCGAAAGCGUGGGUAGCGAACGGG
rnacentral:rRNA from 1 species